GCCCAGGUGGCGGAAUUGGUAGACGCGCUAGCUUGAGGGGCUAGUCCCGAUUUUUCCGGGGUGGAGGUUCAAGUCCUCUCCUGGGCACCA
rnacentral:tRNA from 1 species